UGGGGAAUAUUGGACAAUGGGCGCAAGCCUGAUCCAGCAAUGCCGCGUGUGUGAAGAAGGCCUUCGGGUUGUAAAGCACUUUUAUCAGGAGCGAAACGCUGUCGGCUAAUACCCGGCGGAACUGACGGUACCUGAGGAAUAAGCACCGGCUAACUUCGUGCCAGCAGCCGCGGUAAUACGAAGGGUGCAAGCGUUAAUCGGAAUUACUGGGCGUAAAGCGUGCGUAGGCGGUUUCUUAAGUCUGCUGUGAAAUCCCCGGGCUCAACCUGGGAAUGGCAGUGGAUACUGGGAGGCUAGAGUGUGUCAGAGGGUGGUGGAAUUCCCGGUGUAGCGGUGAAAUGCGUAGAGAUCGGGAGGAACAUCAGUGGCGAAGGCGGCCACCUGGGGACAACACUGACGCUGAGGCACGAAAAGCGUGGGGAGCAAACAGGAUUAGAUACCCUGGUAGUCCACGCUCUAAACGAUGCGAACUGGAUGUUGGUCUCAACUCGGAGAUCAGUGUCGAAGCUAACGCGUUAAGUUCGCCGCCUGGGGAGUACGGUCGCAAGACUGAAACUCAAAUGAAUUGAC
rnacentral:rRNA from 1 species